GGGGGUUUAGCUCAGCUGGCUAGAGCGCUUGCAUGGCAUGCAAGAGGUCAUCGGUUCGAAUCCGUUAUCCUCCA
rnacentral:tRNA from 4 species